AGCUGGCGCUGUGCUGGUGCCAGGUGAGAUUUCCAGGCUGGAUCUGCUGGAGGGACCUGGAAGAGGCGGCUGUGCUCCUGUUCGUGUCCUGGAGCUGGAGGAAAAGGGUGGAAAUCCGGUCAUGAAUCCUUCCCAAAGGAAGAGUUGGAGGUGGUCAAGAGAAGGAGCUGCUCCAGGCUGUGAUUUAUUCAUGAUGAGUUUCUCCAAACUGUGUUCUGCUGCUGGCUGGCAGCUGCUGCCACACUCCCCACACUUCCAGCAUAUGGAGAGGAGGAAUCCGCAGCCCUGGCCCUGGGCUGGGGUGAAUGUUGUGCUGAUUUACAGCCAGCUGCACGCUGAGGGGUGAGGCAGACACUCUGGUUGGCAUCUGGAUCUCCACAAGCUCAUUAGCAGCUCUGUGCAAGCUGCACUUACCCAGUGUAACCCUGACAGCUUUUUGGGAGGAUUCUGCAGCCUUCAAAGCAGGAGAUAAGACAGGAAUGUUGCAGGAAGGGAGGAUGGUGUGGCUGGGGACACAGCAGAGGCACGCCCAAGCUUGGAAGAGAAGGAAAUCUCCAUGUGCUGCUGGAGGCUCUCUCUGACAAGGCACACGCCUCUGAUCAUCCCUGAUCCCCUCCUUGAUCACUGGAGUUGCUGCCCGAGCUGCCUGCACAGCUCUGUGACGUCCCUGUGUUCUCAGGGAGUGCCACCCUGGGCAGUGGGAGGUGUCCCUGCCCAUGGCAGGGCUAGAACUGAUGGGCUCUAAGGUGUUUCCAAACCAAACCAGUCUGGGAUUUGGUAAUUAAUGACUUUGUGCUAAUUACCCAGAGCAGCACUGGCACAAAGACUUCAUGCCCUCGGCACGCCUCACCUUCUGCAGAGGAUUUUGCUGAUUUUUGGGGUGUUGGAAGGACUGAGUGCUACACACAAGGCAAUGCUGCAUUAAUGUUAUUUAAAAAUAACAUUUAUUGAUACCCUGCAGUCAGAGUGGGAUCAAGGAGACAGAGGAAGGCCUGGCUGGUGACUUUUCCUGGUUUAAAAUUGCCCAGAGCUCUAAAGGUGCCUCACUUCCCUGGGCACGGAUAGGUGGGAGCACUGACAGCCCUCUGUGCCUGUGUGAAACACCUUCCUGCUCAUUUUGUGGCUCUCUGUUCCAUAAAGGAAAUGGAAAUGUUCAAUGUGUGAACAAAACCCUUCAGUGAAGGCAGGGAGAGCCUUGGAACAGAGAGUCCUGGCCUUGGCUGAGCCCUGAGUACAGCUUUGCUCAGAGCAGGGAACCCCAGGCUGCUUUUUGUACCCAUUUUACACCAAAUGGUUCGGUCUCUGAGUUUUGGCAGCUCGGUUUGGGGUUUUUCUCCUUGACUGUAAGGAUUCUGUGGAGUCACUGGUUUGUUUCAGAGCACUACUGGAGCCAAUUAAACAAUACUUGGUGG
rnacentral:lncRNA from 1 species